ACAAUUCCUGAGACUACCGGUGUUGACGAAUGGAACACGCACUACCACCUGGCUGGUACGGCAUCGACCGUCUCCGGGCAUACACAAAGCACAGAAACCGGAAGCACAAAUUCCGCACUUCUGGUUUACAGCAGCCCUGGCGGCGUCUACAAUGCAUUGGCCAGCACAAGCUAUGCGCGCAUGGAGGAACCAUCCGGCAUUUUUGGAAACGACGCUUCGGCUUCUACAGGAAGCGGAGGAAAGGAAGAACAGGAGUUGCCCGGUGUCUGUGGCAAUGUUUCGAGCGGACAAGACGCCUUGCAUGGGCACGCCAACGAACACAAGGGCGAUACAGCCCACACUUGCAAAACAAGCGAUGUAACAUUUGUCAAGGAUUCGAAGUUCAUAAAACACUGCCGGAAUACAACAGGCGAACCACACAAAUGCGAAUCCUAUGGCAAAUUGUCCGGCCAGGCUGCUAAUCUCGCUGCACAUUGCCGCACACAUACAUGCAAGAAACCCUACAUUUUCAUUAUAUGUGAACAAUCGUUCCGGCAGUGUGUCCACCUAGAUAACCAUAUGUGUACGCAUACAGGCGAGAAAGCCUACGUUUGCAAAAUAUGUGAUAAAUCGUUCCGGCAGUCUGUCCACAUAGGUAACCAUAUGCGCACGCAUAAAGGCGAGAAACCCUACAUUUACAAAACAUGUCGUAAAUCAUUCACGCGGUUGGCUAGUGUCCGCAGACACCAGCAGACUCACACAGACGGAAAAACCCCUGUCUGUCAAACAUGCUGGAAAGCAUUCAAACUCUACUGGCACAGUAGUGAUAAAGCUUGCGUUUGCGGAAUAUGUCACGGACAAAGGAAGCACGGAGAGAAAACGCCGUAUGAGUGUACGCAGCAUGGAUUUCUUUUCGCAGAGAAAGAAACGCUCGAUGAGCAUCUGUUGCAGAGUAAUACGUGCUACUUAUGUGGAGAUUCAUUUGGUGACGAAGUUCAACUGCUUACACACCUCGUGACGCAUAGGCAUGUGCAGCCGCGAUAUUCUGUCUAGUGCGCGAGUUAGGUAAAUCGCCCGCAGCAUUUGCAUAACAACGUGAGAGUGAAUUAGCACAAGCUCUUGGGCCAGUUGCAGCACGAUGAACUUAAAAAGGGUACCAGCGAAACACAACGUACGCGCACACAGGGAAAAUGCGUUAGACACGGACGGACGCUGGACUUUCAGCUGUACUUUAUUGAAACCUACAUCGCCGCACAUAACCUCCGACGCAUGCGCAUCUUCAGCUCCUUCCAAGACAUGUGCAAAGAUCACAUUUCGGAGAUACGUUACCGUGUGCAAACAGCCGACCCAUGCGCAACUCCUAGUCCUCCUAAGACCU